UACAGAGGUCUCAAGCGUUGUUCGGAUUCAUUGGGCGUAAAGGGUGCGUAGGUGGCGCGGUAAGUCGGGUGUGAAAUCUCGGAGCUUAACUCCGAAAUUGCAUUCGAUACUGCCGUGCUCGAGGACUGGAGAGGAGACUGGAAUUCCAGGUGUAGCGGUGAAAUGCGCAGAUAUCAGGAGGAACACCAAUGGCGAAGGCAGCACUCUGGGACGUGACUGACGCUGAGACGCGAAAGCGUGGGGAGCAAACAGG
rnacentral:rRNA from 1 species